UACCGUGAGGGAAAGUUGCAAAGAACUUUGAAGAGAGAGUUCAAGAGGGCGUGAAACCGCUGAGAAGGAAACGGAUAGAGUUGACGAAACACAGCGGCAUUCAUCCGACCUGUCCUGGCAACUGGCUGCCCGGUAUAGAUCGUUCUCCUCGGGGAAUGACGGUCUGGCUGUCAGCUUAGUCGGCUGGUUGGUGCUUUUGCCGUUGGUAUGCGCGGAGACGUUCGCUGUGGCGUGUCGACGUCGAUGUCAGAGGACCAGUGCCAAAUGGUACUGGAAACCUGACUCGGCUUAGGUAUGUUCGCGGUGAAACGGUAACCACAUACGCCGCUUGCUAGUUGCGUAGCUGCCUCUGCAUAGUUGGGUGCGUUGUUGGGCGAUCGCGUGCGAUUUGUCUACAGCUGUAUUCCGGCUUGUUUCUGGCUAGUUACGUUGGCGGUGUAUCUCCGUGUAAAAGUCAGCCACCUAUCCGACCCGUCUUGAAACACGGACCAAGGAGUUUAGCAUAUGCGCAAGUCAUUGGGUGGUAAACCUAAAGGCGUAAUGAAAGUAAAGACUGCUUCGAGCGGUUGAUAUGGGAUCUGUGCUUGCUUGCAGGCGCAGCGCACCAUAGCCCCGUUCUUGUUGCUUGCAAUAGGGCGGAGGUAGAGCGUAUACGCUGAGACCCGAAAGAUGGUGAACUAUGCCUGAGCAGGAUGAAGCCAGAGGAAACUCUGGUGGAAGUCCGAAGCGGUUCUGACGUGCAAAUCGAUCGUCUGACUUGGGUAUAGGGCGA
rnacentral:rRNA from 1 species